CCGCGUCUGCGCCGCGCGGCUCACCUAUUGACCGAAUAUCAUCGUGAUAGCUAUAUAGCUACGAUAGUGCUGCACACAUCAGCAACGAGAACGGCGGCGGCAGCGGCGGCGGUGGCGGUGGCGAGCUGCCCGUGCUCGCGAGAGCGUUGCUUCGACGUGAAUCCUGAGGCUCGUUCUCGCUCUCCCGCCUCUUCAUCAUCGAGCGACAGCGCGGCGACGAUGACGGUCAGCUGAUCGUGCUCUCGCGCCGUGCUGUCAAUCGGCGAAUUUCUUUCUCUUUUUUCCCUCCCCUCGCCGUCCGCUAUCCCACGUGUGAAUCCUCCCUCUGCGCCAGAUCUUAUCGAAAGUGGAUGCGCGAUAUAUAUUUCGAGGAUUCCGUAAUACCUUCACCUUCCACCUUUUACUCCUACGGAAGAGUUGUACGAUCAAUCUUCCAGCAAGAGGCCGUCUCUACUUCGCUUUCUCUAUUUUCACGCUCUCUUGUCGAUCUUGUUAUCUUUUUGUCACGUUUUUCCUUUUCACGGGACACACUCAUCUGCCUGCUACGCCGCGCUGCUCUCUUCGUAAUGUCAAUAUUUUCUAUCGCCCGUCUGUUUUUCCUAUUAUGUACACAUCACAUGUACACAACAUACGUUUUUUUUUUCCUCUUGCUAUGGAUAAAUCCUAUUGUAUACGUACAGCAUGUUAAAAGACCAGUCUUUAUCUUAUAGCAUCCAGUUUCAAUAAAUAAAAUCAGAGAAUUGAAAUCGACGUAUCUUCGUGGAAUUUAAUUUUAUGAUACAAUAAAAUGGUAUAAAGAGUCGCUGUUAUAUCGCAUCAAUGUCUCUUAUCUCUCUCUCUCUCUCCCCUCUCCCCUUAUCGUCCCACUACCUCGCGAAGGGCGGGUGCGCCUCUCGACACGUACCGGUGUUACAGGGACAUUUAAUUGCCUCACGAGACUCUCGCGCGAAAAUCACUUCCUCGUUAAAGAAGGGGUCGUUCGCAGCCCGCUCGUCGUUAGUACAUUCCCAAACGCGAUCGCGGAAGUCCGCCGACAUCAUUCCGACCCGACAAAGGAGGGUCCAUCGAGGCAGGAAGACACGGGGCGUUCUCGUUGCGAGGGGUAGCUCGGAGAGUGCCGUUCACACAACAAUCAAGCGCCAUUAUAAUGCAUCGCUGCCGUACCGUUGGACAAUCGGAAAAGAGGUGAAGCGAUGGAAACGAAACGCACGUCAGCAACGUACUCGUCGUCCGAUCGAGCCUGUCCGUCCCCGUCGUCGACGGCUUUAAUUCGUUUAAAAACCUCCGAUCGCGCGUUACGUCAACCCGGUCAUAUUAACGGCGCGUCGCGUCUCCGAUAUACUACCUGCAUUACGUGAGCGCAUUACGAACGCAGGGUGCCUUUAGCUCAAGUGACUUGAACCUCGUGUCGAAGGCGCCGGCUUACCCUGGAUCUGGAACACCCGCAGAGCCAUGUUAGCGAAGAUCGACAGCCCGCUGCCAACUGACCAUCCCCCGGCGAGCGAGCUGCACCUUCUAAUUAUCACGAGUUGUUAAAAAAAAAAAAACGUGAUCGAUCGAUGUUUACGUAUUUAAGGUAUACGUGUGAAAGUCAUCUAGGGUAAGGAAUUUCAAAUUAGAAAAAACAGAAGUUAAAACGGUAGAUAUGACGAAUGAUCGAUCAUGGAUCACCGAAUAUUGACGUUUAAAUUCUCUAAGAACGAAAAUCGUAUCAUUUUAAUAAAACUACAAUGAGAAGUUGAUUCAACAGCAUUUUUUCCUCGGCGUAAUUCAUUACUUAUUUAAUAAAAGAGAGAAAAUAUUUUAUUUUUAUUAUUUCAUAUUGCCAUUUAUUAUUUUAAUUAAUUCUUAAAUUUUGGCAAUAGAAUUAGAAUGUUGGAACAAUUGUGCGCUAUGCAAGAGAAGUUGAUAAAAUUAAUUGAGAUGCGAAAGAAAUAAUUUAUGAAUCACAAUUUAAUGUGGACAUACAAGAAUUGCGUUAUUUAUUAAUUAUUAUUGCAGACUACUAAACAGGUCUAAAAUUAUUUUUCCUUUAACUUAAAAUAAGUUUGCUUUCUUGCUAACAAAGUAGUCUUUCGUUAUGAAAUAAAAUUACGUUUAAAAUAUGUAAAAUUGAGGUCACGAAAAUUAUACCAAUUUCAAUCUUUAAUUCCUUAUCGAUGCCAAUUGAAGUUGACGCGAAUCACAGGUCGAAAUAAAACUGGAACGGACACAUUUGUUCUUUUCCCGUGUGAGAAGAACUUAUUUCACGAAUUCGGUUAACGAACGUUACACGACCUCGCAGCCUUCCGUCCAACAACUAAAAAUUUGGGAAUAAACGAACUCCUGUCACACCGGAAUCGCCACGUUUCUGGCAAAAUGCCGCGCAUCGUUCCGUGUGUGUGUGUGUGUGUGUGUGUAUGUGUCAGACGGGAAAACGCCGCACUCUCGGAAGAUUCGACAACGCGUCGCGCGGAUCGAACGCGAUUCGCGAAUUAUUUGCGGCACGAUAUGGCAUGACAGCGAAGCAGUAGGCGGUUCCCUGGAAACCGCAACGCGUCUCCGGAAUUCCCUUCCCUUCCCAAAUUCUGGAAAUCGUAGGUUGAAAAACGACGUGUUUCACGGAACUUAGCUUUGCGACACUAACGACCGGAAAAAGCAAAAUGCGAAGAGAUGAACGAUGAUUCACACUGAUAAAAAUUAAACACAAAAAUUCUUUUAGAAUUUAUCCUCAAAGUCAUGGUUAUUGUAAAAUAAUGCCUUCAAAAAAUUUUACUAUAACUUGAGUACUUGAGCCGAAUAAGAUCUAGUAUUAAAAUAAUACCACUUCUAAAUUUAUCGUUUAAAAACGCGCUUUGUGACCAGAAUAUAUUGUAAAAGAUGUGUCAUUUGCUUUGUUACAAUCAAAACGUAUCUUGUACCCAACGCUCUUAUCGAGCUAUUUUCCCUUUUGUAUCCAGAAUUGUUGCUGACAUAAAUUCCCUGCCGUUAUCUUACUAUUCAUUUAUUACAAUUAAUUUAUCCGGUAAACAUCGAUCGUGCUCUAGACAAAAAUGGUUACAACAACCAAAUGAUUUAUCCUCGAUAUUAGGACGAAAGUGGCUCGCUUGCGUAAUUAUGUUUAAUUGCUGCCGUUAGGUGCAGCUGCUGCUUUGAGAGGAGCGUUAAGUGUCCGCGUAUUCGUUAUAGAUAUGUUGAAAUAAUUCCACUCAAUACGUUGCAAUAAAAUGUAGCGAAAAUAUUUCUGCGUAAUCUUUCCACGUAUAAAUUCAAUAAUACGCAUAUUAAAUUCAAAAAUUAUUAAUCGGAAUAUUAAAGUGGCUUCGCGGGAAAGUAGUAAAAAAACGCGUAUUUAAUUGGAUCGAAUCUGGCUUAAAGUCUCAGUAGGCCUAUUUUGUAACUCUUAACGACAGUUUCGUUACCGUUAUAACGUCGUUGUGUAGCUUUUUUGCCAUAAAUCCGCGCAACGACAUUAUAACGGCAACGAAACUGUCGUUAAGAGUUGCAGAAUAGAUUUGCCGGUUCAAUCCCUCGAGGAUUUUUCUCAUCCCACAUUUUCUUUGUAUUUGAAAUUUCCACGUAAAGCAGAAUCUCUGUAUAAAAUAGAGUUUUUCGACGUUAAAUUGCGAUUAAAUAUAUUUUAUUCUUUAAACUACUUUUAUAUGUAAUUAUUUUUAAUAUAAAACGCUGAAUUUUUUCAAAAAGUAGUUUUAGCAGUGUACAAUUGCAAUGACUUGCAUUAUAGUUGAAAAGCAUUGAAUUGUAAACUGUGUUACACAGUGUUGCAUAUGUAUGUUGCUGGAAAACACUUAUAAUUGUAAAAUAGUAUUCAUAAACAUAUUAAAAAAAUAAAUCAGAAUUUUUUAAGGAAUUUUUAAAAUUUUCCCUUAAAAGUCCCUUUAAAAUCUUUUUAAAAAAAUACGUUUAAUAACCAAAGUAGUCUGACUAAACAGUAAAAAAUAUGGUAGGAUUAAGAUACAACGUCCAUUCACUCCACGAUACCUGUCAAUUUUCAACAAAUUGUGUGAAAUAUAAUCUAAUCCCCUUACAUAAAGUAAUUAUUUACCAAUUUUUUAAUAAAAAUAUUUUACGUUAUUUCAUAGAAAAAUAACACUAAGUAUUUGGCGGACGGUUUUGAUGUUGUUUUAUAAUAGCGCGCGCCCCUUACACGAAGACUCCGUAUACAUUGAGUUUUCUGUAGCUGAACUGUUCGAACCAUUCGACGUCUCUCUUUUUCUAUCCACCUUUUAAUUAUACACUUAUUUUAUUUAUAAAAAACGUAGAAAAAAUAAUGGUGCAAUAAAGAGCUAUUAUUCGUGCGGCGAGAAUCAAGCUAGCAGAUAGCGAUAUGAGUCAUUUCCUAUUUCACCUUCAAAACGCAAUAAUUCGUAACGAAAAAUCACGAUCAAGUAUUUGAUUUCGCGAUUAACGAUUCGCAUGCAUGUUAAGACGGCUGUUUAUUACUGAAACGGAUAUCUCGCGUGAUUUUUUUUUUUUUAUUUGAAUCGCAACAAUAGGAAAACGGAAUUAUAAAUUCUAAUUCGUCGGGGAACAACACUCACGGAAAUUUAUUAUUUCGAAUAAUAUAUCCUACAACGCGUCAUCAAUAUUUCGACAAAUUAAAUAUGAUUUACUUAUCACUUUUUAUCGAAUGCGCGGAAUAACGCGCGACUCGCUGGAUCAAGUAUUACGAAAGACUAUCAAACGUUUGAAGUGCAAUUAAUAAUUUGAAGUGCAAUAAUUUUCGGUGUAUAAUUUUUCCGUAAGACUAAUAUUUUACAUAUAUUUUGACGACUGUUCGUGACUUCGGACGUGAGCAAGGACGCCCACGCCGCGUAUUGUAAUUGUCGGCAGGUAACGGCGCGAGUCAGUCGCUUCGUGUGUCAUUAACCGUCGAUACGUGAUCGCAUCACGUUUCAGAUACGGAGAGAAACCGUAGGCGAUUAUUUCCAACAAACAAUCUCAAUUAGCUCAUCUAUCAAUCAAUGCAAUUAAUUAACUCUCGCGAGUGAUAGGUGUAAAUUUCGUGACUAAUUUCAUCGCAUAUUUACUCGGUUUUUCAUUUAAAAACUGAAGGAGUUAGAAAAUGCAUAUUUAUCAAGUAUUAUUUUAUUGUAAAAUUUAUAAACGCAUAAGCAAUAAUGAUUUCUAUUUAUGCUGAAAUGUGUUGUGUCGAGUCUUGAAUUCUAUUUCAACGUAAUUUGUUCGUUACCUUUGAAUUGCGAGCACGGAAUAAUGCACGAAUCGCCGGAUAUAAUGGAAAAGGGUAGUAAUAUGGUCGCCAUUAUUUUAAAUUGAAAAUUUAACGAUUACAUUCGUCAAUGUGUUGUUUAAUGGAUUCUACACUCAAAGUUAUGAAAUAUUUAUUACUUGGGAUAUGAUUUAUAAAAAUAUGAUUGAAUAAUGGGUCGAAGAGAAACCGAGGCAUAUGUCCUUUUUUCCUGUCCGCAAAAACAGAUUUAAAACAAUCAAUAAAAGGCUCACAAAUGUAAUAUUUUUUAAAUAUAAAAAAACGCAGAUUUAAAAAAUUGGUAUUUUCUUUAAAAAAAUACGUUUUAUUAUAAAAUUAUAUAUUUAUUUAAAGCAAAAAGAAAAUAUUGCACAAUGCAAACUGUAUGCCACAUAUCUGUACAUGCGAAUAACAAAAAAAUAAAAUAAAAUAAAAUAAAAAUAGUAAAUGUAGAUGUAUUCGUGUGACAAUAUGUCCAGAUUUAAAAAGGGCGUAUGUAUAAUCGAAAACUAAAAUGCAUCUUGAAAAAAUUUCGAAAUGCUUAAAAGUAAAAAUGUCUUGAAACAAAUGUUGGGUAUUGUGCAUUGGCAUAUUAGCGCCACUGCAGUGGGCUAAACGCUAAAUAAAUGACUCCUUAAAUAGAAUUUAUCUUCUAAUA